UACGGGGGGGGCAAGCGUUGUUCGGAAUUACUGGGCGUAAAGGGCCAGUAGGCGGCCAACUAAGUCCGACGUGAAAUCCCCAGGCUUAACCUGGGAACUGCGUCGGAUACUGGAUGGCUUGAAUUCGGGAGAGGGAUGCAGAAUUCCAGGUGUAGCGGUGAAAUGCGUAGAUAUCUGGAGGAACACCGGUGGCGAAGGCGGCGUUCUGGACUGUUUCUGACACUGAAUAACGAAAGCCAGGGGAGCAAACGGG
rnacentral:rRNA from 1 species